rnacentral:lncRNA from 1 species
UCAUCGAAGAAGUGCAGGCCAUGCAGCAGCAGCAGCAACAGCCACAGACAUCAGUGCGGUUGGAAAGAGCAUCGUCGGAGUUCCAAAAUCUGACAGUAGGGUGGGCCACUUGGGUCAGUCGCCCUGUCUUCCCCAGAAAGGAGAAUCCGAGGGUGGAGAGCCCUCAGUCUGAUCAUGAUUCCACCCCCGAAGGAUCCCUACCUCCAUUCUGCCUGAAGACCCUCGAAACUCACAGUCGAGAGGACCUCCUGGAUCAAAGACUCCAGGAGAUGAACC